UGGGGAUCAUAGAGAUAGGAAGGCUUUCCUAGAGCGGCUGAGAGAUCCCAACUUCCGGUCCCGUUUCCCUGUAAACUAAAGAGGAGCAAAAGAGAAGAAGGAUAACGACGUCUUUAAAGCAUCGCAGAGAGAAACCAGGGUUGCACCAGCAGCACCAGCAUGGCGUCCAUAUCAGACAAGUCCCUGUUAUCAGCUGAGCUUCAGGAGGAGGAAGAGGAGGAGUUCCAGCGUCUUUUGCUCCAGGCAACCCAGAAAAUCCAGAGCUCACUGCCUUCUCAGGCAGAGUCCAAGCCCAUUCGUCCACUCCCAGGAUUCUGUCUUAAAACCCGCACAGUUUCUGGUGAUAAAGUAUUCGUCAAUGUCUGCAAGUCCCCUCACAUUCCUCCACCUCCUGAUCUGAGCAAUGAAGAACUGACCUGCCUCAUUGAAUCUGAAGCUGCUUCCAACUUCCGCAUCCCCAUGAGCCUGGGAGAGCCUCAUGCAGAAGUGGACAAAAGUGGUAAUGGCUGCACUGCUUACGAUGUCAGCAUCAGCACCAGCUUUUUCAACAAGAUGGAGGGCAACCAAUUCCUCAAAGAGUUUUUCAUCACUGUCGCAUUAGAAGGACUGUCUGAGAAAUACAAGAUGGAUCUCAGCUACCAAGAAUGGCUAAUUCUGAAGAACAGAAAGUUUAUGGGCUCCAUAUCAGAGCAGACCAUCCGCACCAAAUCCAAACCUGUCAUCCAGGAAGUGGACAGCAGUGAGGUCAAGGAGAAAACUAGUAACUUAUGGCAAUCUUCUGUGUCUGAAAGUUCUGCCACUGUUCCUGAAUACACGAUAGUUGCUGAGCCCUCUGUCAAUCACCCUGACCAUCUAGUAGCGAAAAUCUGCCUCCCUAAAAUGACCUCAGUGAGAUCCCUUGACCUGGACUUGGGUGAAGAUCGAAUUGUGUUAGAGGGACAUCCCAGACUCUAUCAUUUGGACAUCUUCAUUCCCUACAGCAUUGUUCCUGAAGAAAGUAGGGCUCAGUUCCACAGAGAGACCAAGAUCCUCACUGUCAUAAUGCCUGUCCAACGCCCAUUACUGUUACCAUGAGCUGCAAGGAGAAAAGCUGGAAGACACAGUGUUUUGUCAGUCCUGGGACUUAGAUCCCACAGCCUCAUGUGGGAUAAGCAGAAGAGCAGAGAUUCAGGAAGGAUGUGGAGGAUGGAACUGAUUAUCAGAACAAUGGUGUUCGGCUUGUGAGGAAAUAGACAAAAGACACUAUAUUUCCAUUGAUGGAUGAGACUUCUCCUGCUGAGUCCACAACUUACCAAUUUUGCAUGGAGAGUUGCAGAAGGGCCAUUCCAUUGGGCAGAAUGAAGAGACUGCCUCAGGAAGAAGAUGAUGGAGGAGCACGAGCCACAGUUGCCCCCUCGGUUUCUCUCUUGUGGUGGUGACCUGUCUUAGGCAAACCAGUGGAAUUUUCUGCCUUCAGGUCCAGUGAUAGUUAAGAGAAAUGCUGGCUGGAUUAUUCUGAGUGAUGUUUUCUCUAAUCCCAGUUUUCCUAACUUUUGGACUGCAAAAUCCAGAAUAGGAAGACCGAGCAAGAUAUGACUAUGCUGGAACCAUUUCCUUGAAGUGCUGAUACUCCUGGCUAUGAUUCAUGUUUCUCGUUUCCAGAAGAAGAGCCUGGAUAAUAGCCCUGUCAUCCUCGCUCCAUGCAGAUGGGAUCAGCACAUGUGAACUUCCAAAUAUUGUUGGACUGCAGUUCCCAUCCUCCCUCACCAUUGACUAGCCUGGCUAACCUUCUGCUCACUCCUUGCCAUAUGGAAUGCCAACUACAUUUGGCACAUUCUCCAUCAAAGAGCCUCACUGGUGGGGACUGGUAGAAACCACUUGUUCCUCCCCUCCCACCUUAUACUUAGAGACCCACCCCACCAGAUGCUCUUUCUCUUGCCUUGCUCUUUCUCACUAAAUCCCCUUCUCGGAGAGAUUGAGCGGCGGCAUAAACCGAUCAAUCCAAUUCCUUUAAAUGGAGAACCUACUAUUCCAGCCCUUUGCUCUUUCCAAAGAUCCCAGGAUUCCUUGCCAAGUGGCAAUUAGCAGAUCGUUCUCAGCAGGGGAAAAGAAAACUCCCCGCAGUGUAAAAUGUGUGGCUCUGUGUGCCUGCAUGUGUGUGUGAGAGAGAAUAAGAUGCAAAUAUAUUCAGAGUAGUUGUGGUGUCAGCAGAGGACAGAAUGAGGGGGGAGCAGGUUCCCUGAUAUUAUUCCAGCACUAAAUCAUCAACCUCCUGCCUUCCCUAUUUGCUGUUUCGUGUGGAUCAGUGUGUCAUGCAUGAGAAGAAUAUUACUUUGCCAGAAACCCAUGCCCAUUGGUGGUUUGUCAUCUGUGCACAAGAAUUCUUCAUGUCCCUGCAAUGGAGACAUAGGACAGAUACUGGUUUAAAAGCAAGAGAUCCCAGACCCUUUAGAAAAUCAGGAAAUUGUCUCACUCCAUGGUUAGGCAACCAUUAGGGGAACAUACACUGCCUUCCAGAUUGUGGAACUCCUUGAAAGUUGCACCAUUUUAUUUUUCUAAAUUGUUUAGUUUUUUUAAAUUGAGUUUAUUCUAAAUCAGGACUACAGUUGGCUUUUCAUAUCCACAGAUUCUGCAUCCAAGGGUUCAACCACCCACCGCUUGAAAAUAUUUUUAAAAUCAUAAUUAUUCAAAACGCAAACCUUGAUUUUGCCAUUUUAUGUAAGGGACAUCAUUUUACUACUUGAUUGUAUAUAUUGUUACUUGAGAUCCACUGAUUUUGAUAUCCACUGGGUCCUAGAACCAAAUCCCAAUGGACACCAAGGAUCCACUGUAUUUGUCCAUCCACAGUUUGGAAAAAAUUAUUUUGGGGCCCACAAAUCCCAGAUUUUUCCAGUCAGCAUGGCUGGGAUUAUAACUGCAGCCACUCACUCACAAACCACAAGGUUGUGAGUUCAAUACCACCCAGGAACCCUGGGUCAAUUCAGCCUGGCAUCCUUCCAUAUGUCACUAAAAUGAGUACCCAGCUUGUUGGGGGCAAUUAGCUUACACGUUGUAAACUGCUUAGUAUAUCAGUAAGCAGUAUAUAAAUGUACUUGUUACUACCUUCAAUCGGGAAAGAAAGGUAAUUGACAGUGAGUGGAAGUGACAGCACUCUAAACCACCAAAUAUUUUCAUAAAGAGUGCAGAAGAAUCUCCUAAAAGGUAGGGCCACUUAAAAAAAAUCAGUGCUGAACAUAUCUGCAAUUGGGGGAAAAACCUGUGAGGGAUAUUUCCAGACACAGUUGAAAAUAUGUAUAAAAAUACAGAUACAUAACAUACACAUUUCAAAACUAGAUGUGCAAUAUGUUUUUUACAGCACUGAAAAGGUGAGCUGUUAUCAAAUGAAAGUUAGGGUUGCAAAAUAAUAAUAAAAAGGCUGUUUAAAUAUUCUCAGCUCAUAGACAUCAUUCCACCUCCUUGUCCUCAAGAGGACAGCAGGAUAUUUUCCCUCUUUGUUCAAGUGCAUCACGGUUUGUACUUCAUCCAGUCUG